AUUGAACGCUAGCGGGAUGCUCUACACAUGCAAGUCGAACGGCAGCGCGGACUUCGGUCUGGCGGCGAGUGGCGAACGGGUGAGUAAUGUAUCGGAACGUGCCCAGUAGCGGGGGAUAACUACGCGAAAGCGUAGCUAAUACCGCAUACGCCCUACGGGGGAAAGCAGGGGAUCGUAAGACCUUGCACUAUUGGAGCGGCCGAUAUCGGAUUAGCUAGUUGGUGAGGUAACGGCUCACCAAGGCGACGAUCCGUAGCUGGUUUGAGAGGACGACCAGCCACACUGGGACUGAGACACGGCCCAGACUCCUACGGGAGGCAGCAGUGGGGAAUUUUGGACAAAGGGGGCAACCCUGAUCCAGCCAUCCCGCGUGUGCGAUGAAGGCCUUCGGGUUGUAAAGCACUUUUGGCAGGAAAGAAACGUCGCGGGCUAAUACCCCGUGGAACUGACGGUACCUGCAGAAUAAGCACCGGCUAACUACGUG
rnacentral:rRNA from 1 species